rnacentral:rRNA from 1 species
AACUUUUGAAGGUGGAUCUCUUGGCUCACGCAUCGAUGAAGAACGCAGCCAGCUGCGAUAAGUAGUGUGAAUUGCAGAAUUCAGUGAAUCAUCGAAUCUUUGAACGCAAAUGGCGCUCUUGGGUUCUCCCAGGAGCAUGUCUGUCUGAGUGUCGGAUUGUCAUCCCUC